UAGGGAAAUCUUCCACAAUGGACGAAAGUCUAGAUGGAGCAACGCCGCGUGAGUGAAGAAGGGUUUCGGCUCGUAAAACUCUGUUGUUAAAGAAGAACAUAUCUGAGAGUAACUGUUCAGGUAUUGACGGUAUUUAACCAGAAAGCCACGGCUAACUACGUGCCAC
rnacentral:rRNA from 1 species